rnacentral:rRNA from 1 species
GUACCUGCGGAGGGAUCAUUGCUGGAACGCGCUUCGGCGCACCCAGAAACCCUUUGUGAACUUAUACCUUACUGUUGCCUCGGCGCAGGCCGGCCUCUUAGCUGAGGCCCCCCGGAGACGGGGAGCAGCCCGCCGGCGGCCAACCAAACUCUUGUUUCUACAGUGAAUCUCUGAGUAAAAAACAUAAAUGAAUCAAAACUUUCAACAACGGAUCUCUUGGUUCUGGCAUCGAUGAAGAACGCAGCGAAAUGCGAUAAGUAAUGUGAAUUGCAGAAUUCAGUGAAUCAUCGAAUCUUUGAACGCACAUUGCGCCCUCUGGUAUUCCGGAGGGCAUGCCUGUUCGAGCGUCAUUUCAACCCUCAAGCCUGGCUUGGUGUUGGGGCACUGCUCCGAGAGGAGCAGGCCCUGAAAUCUAGUGGCGAGCUCGCUAGGACCCCGAGCGUAGUAGUUAUAUCUCGUUCUGGAAGGCCCUGGCGGUGCCCUGCCGUUAAACCCCCAACUUCUGAAAUUUUGACCUCGGAUCAGGUAGGAAUACCCGCUGAACUUAAGCAUAUCAAAA